rnacentral:sRNA from 1 species
UGAUCUGGUGGGGUUGAUCGCACCCGAG